GGUGUGUGAAUAAACUCAAGAAGUGGGGCUUGCAUUUAAACACAACCUCUUCAACCUGUCGCUGUUACAACCUUCAGCCACACUUCCAAACCCCAUUCCAGGUCUUUUCCUCCUCCUCCAACCCUCAGCCAGUUGUUCAGACAGAAAACCUGACUUCCAUAGGCAAAGAACAACAAAUAUUCCCAAAAAACUACAGAAUAGGGAAACAGCUCAAGAGCCUCUUCUAAAGAAAAGAAGAUAAAUGCAUUUAAAAUGUCCUUACCAGCGACAUCCAGUAAAUAUCCUUUGGAGCAAAGGCUCUCCAGUCUUCCCUCCUGAGCAGCACUGGGCGAGAGCGAGGGGGUUUGGUGGCUCCCGGUGACACGUGUGGCCCACACAGCCAAUCUGGCUCCAGCCCGCUCGAGUUUCAUCCCUAAAUAUACUCGGUGACCCCGAGGGAGGGCACCUGUUCUCAGCAGCAUCAGGGAAAGGGAGCUGGGCACCUCCGUGCUCCUCAGGAAACCCAAAGCACACCAGAGCUGGGCUGGAGCUCACCAGGCUCGGUGAGAUGGAGCCCCAGGCAAACCCAAUGGAAAAAACACAAUUAUCAGAGUUGAUAAUGACAUUGAAUUUCAGCUGAUGGAGGCCUGAAUAACCAUCCAAAUUCAAGAAUCUCUGAACUUGAGGAGUCCACACUGCAAAGUAAAUUUUAGUAUAAACAUGUCUAAUUUCACCCCAUGAGGACACCUGAAGUGCUUUUUCACCUUGAUGCAAAUCGUGUGUCAAUGUUUUUAUCCCUUAUGAAAUGUUUCAUAGCUGAUCACACAGACCCAGGAACGUGUGAAAAGCGACUGUUUGCAGGGAAGGAACCCAACAAAGAGCCAACAUCCCUGGUGAAGGAAGCCCAAGAAGAGCUGAUAAACAGAUCAAGUGACGGGGAGCAACCCUGGUAUUUUGGAAGGUCAGGAAUGCCGUGGUGCAUGGAGCAGAACCAGGGUGAUGAUAACAGACGUGACUUCUUAGGGGAUCACUCCACUGACAAAUAGAGUUGACUUUGGUUUAUCAACGAGUUGCAUUCAAAAGCCAAUAUCAACAAUGAUCCCUUUCCAUGUGCUAGACCACAUAAUUCAGGAAGUGGUUCUCAGGAGCUCUUGAGAGACAUCUUUUUCCUUAACUCUUUCCAGAGGUUCAUAUUUAUAUCCAGAUGAAAUAUCAUAUCUCAUUCACUUCUGCCAAGUAUUUUAGACUCUGCCCAGAGCUGCAGACCCCUCCCUGUCUCCUUUGGCCGAGCCAUUUUCAAUUACUCUCCAUUUUGCUUUACUAGGCAGUCCUUCUCCUUUUAAUCUGAUUUCUGUUUAUUUAACAUUCUUAACCUCUUUUGAAAUUGUCUAGAAAUUAUCACAGCAUGUUGUUGGGGUCUCUACUCCUGAUCCUCCAUGUGCACUCCAAGAAUACUCACAGGCUCCUUUUCCUCCCAAGAGUUGCUUCUCAAUAGAUUUGAUGCCACACAUGACAUCUUCAUUAUCAAUAACAAACCUUAAUGGAGUGAAGGGCCAGCUUUCCUUAUUGAAUAAUUCAUUAUUGUCAUUCCAGCCCAAUCCUGGAAGUUCCUGCAAAGAAUUUCUCCCUCAGUGAUACUCUGCAAGCCCUGUGUUACUGGAGCAUCACCUUCAGAUUUUACACUGCUGUUUGACAUCUCAUUUAGAAAGACACUAAACAAAAAUGGAAUUACACUCAGGGUGCCAGCACCACUUUUUCUGCCCCUGAAAUGCAGCUGUCUUUUAGUGUGGCAGAUCUUCAGCAGCACAGCUCAGGGCUGGAAAAAAGCAUGGAGUAACCAAUGGAAUUUACAGAAGGAGGUUGAGAACAAAAGGGUUAUUGGUGAAAUGAAAAGUUGAACUGGAGAUAAGAUUUUUGUUCUGCCAUCAGAGUACAAAGAGGGGAGGAAAGUGCUGUUGGGUCACUUGAGAAAAUAUUUCAAUUCCUGCAUUUUGUUGCUUUGCUCCUUCAGGUCCAAAUCUCAAGGACCAGCUCUGAGAAAACUGUAUCCACUGUGUGGGCAAGGAGAAUCCCAGGAUCCCUGAGGCUGGAAAAGCCCUGUCAGCCCAUGGAGUCCCAGCUGUGCCCAAAGCCCACCCUGUCCCCAGCCCAGAGCUCUGAGUGCCACCUCCAGCAAUUCCUUGGAUACCUCCAGGGAUGGCGACUCCAAAUCUCCCUGUUCCUAACAUGUAUGAGGUAAAGGGAAUACCAAUGGUUGAUAUUCCUAUUUUCUUUUCGAUUGCUUUGUUGUGAAAACUUAUGUCUGAUUUUUGAUGGAAUAUUCUGACGGAAUAUUCACAAAACCAUAGAAUCAUUAAGGCUGGAAAAGAUCUCCAAGAUCAUCAAGUCCAGCUUUUGACUUUCUAUGAAAAUACAAACUUGACUUUCUGGAGGAGAAAUAUUUCCAAAGCAUUCACUGUGCCCUAGGUGGAGCCUGGCAGCUUUGCCCCAGGUUAAUGCACCAGGCCAGAUUUAUCCACGACACACAAAUGAGCACGUGCUCAGCAGUUCUGAGCUAAAGACAGAACACUGCAAAACUACUCAGGCAGAAAAAGAGAUUGUUUUGCAUUUCAGUCACCAAGAUUUAAAGCAAAAAAAUAUUUUCUUGUACUUAACGUAUUUAAAUAUUGAGUUCAGUCAGUCCUGCUUAUCCUACAGGAGCCACUCAGAGCAUGAUGGAUAAAUGUCCUGACAUCCCAGGUGCUAUAUUUAACCUCCUGACAUCCCUGGACUUAACAAGCAUUGUAUCAUUGGAAAAGGACAUUUAAAUAAUUUAAAUACAUAUUUGUGCCACCGUGUCUAUUUUUAAUCUACCACCAGUGAGUUCCUUCUCAUUCUUUUUGCCAUUCCCCACAGCAAGGCUCCUCUGCCCCAACACCUUUUGGUUUAAUGUGUUGAAAUACUGUGGACAGCAUUUAAAAUUAAAAAAAAAAAAGAAAAACAAAAAAA
ensembl:lncRNA